rnacentral:rRNA from 1 species
UACGUAGGGUGCGAGCGUUGUCCGGAAUUACUGGGCGUAAAGAGCUCGUAGGUGGUUUGUCGCGUUGUUCGUGAAAACUCACAGCUUAACUGUGGGCGUGCGGGCGAUACGGGCAGACUGGAGUACUGCAGGGGAGACUGGAAUUCCUGGUGUAGCGGUGGAAUGCGCAGAUAUCAGGAGGAACACCGGUGGCGAAGGCGGGGUCUCUGGGCAGUAACUGACGCUGGAGGGAGCGAAAAGCGUGG